CAAACACAGAACGUUGUGAGGACGUUGCCAGUUAGUCGUCUUUUGGUCAGCGCGACAUGACUUUAUGGCAACGUUGUGAGGACGUCGUGGUAAAGUUCCAUUUUUUAAAAUCUUGGCUAACUUCCCAGAAACGUCGUGGGCACGUACUCAAAAGACGUCGCUAGUUAGUCCCAUUGGGGACGUUGUAGCGACGUGGUCAGCUGGUCUUCAGAUAACUUUUAAUAUUAUUGCACUAGAUGUAUUAUUAUUAUUAAGAUACCAUUUGAACAGCAUAUUCUUUGGGAAAUAUACAAAAAAAUUAAUCAAGCAUGUUAAAAUAAUUAUAUAUAUAUAUAUAUAUAUAUAUAUAUAUAUAUAUAUAUAUAUAUAUAUAUAUAUAUAUAUAUAUAUAUAUAUAUAUGCCAUCAGUUUAAGAACAAUAAAAUAAACAAUUUACUUAGCAAAUGGUGAUAAUGUUUGUUAAUGAAAGAGAGUACGGGACAAAUUAACAUUUAAACCAUAAACUAGCAGCGCACGUCACUUUCUGAGUGAAGUGCGCGACGUGCGCGUGCCCGUCAUUUUGUAACGGUCAACUUCCAGCAGACGGACACGGAGGAAAGGGCCUGACAACCACCAGUUGAGUCCAUGAUUCAGGGAAGAGACAGUCUGGGCAGCAGCAACAAGACAACUAUUACAAGUAGAGAUGGGUUUCAAGAACUGGUACUAAUUUGGUUCCUGACUUGUUCGACACAACCACAUAUCCUCCAAAUCAUCUCUUCGUGGAUGGCAGCAAGGAUCCAGGAUCAAGAGAUCAUUCUUCAUGGAGACUGUUACACAGGAAGCAGUUUCUCCUGGGUGAAAAACUAAACCUGGUUGUUUCAGCAUCACUCAGGCAAGACUAAAUACUUUUAAAUUGAUUUCAGUUGGUUAUGUGUUUCAGGUCAUCCUGACCAUUCUGCUGUCCUGGAUAUUUGAGGGAAAGAUUAAAAACAAGGAGGUCUGGGAAUGACUGAAGGGAACUGACAGCAGUUAGGGAAGGAAGUAAUCACCAGAAUCUCAGAGGAUGUUGACAGUGCAGGUCCAGGAUGAAGAAGAGGAGGAAGAACACGUUUAACAAUUUUCUCAUAAGCUUGCCAUGUGUUAUAAUAAAAACAAUGAACAUGGCUACAAUAAUAUGCUAAAUGUUAUUAAAAGAUUCCAGUUUGCAAGAAGUCUGAGUGUCUGACUCUACACUAGAGGAACUCUUUUCUGAAGAAGAUCAGGUGCUGAGAAGAAGCCUUGUUCUACAGCACAACACUGCAUCAAGCCUCCUGUCCUUCCCUCAGAAGAGCCUGUCUUCUGCUGCUGGGGAGACACUUUGACAAGUGGGCACUGGAUGCUGAGUAUGGAAGGCGAGGUGGUGUGUGAGGGCACUCAGCCCAGUUUCCUGUCCGGCCUUGCCACCAUGUUUGCUGCUUAUUACUAGUUUAAUCUUGAGUAUCAGGAGGAAGCAGUGUGUACCUUGGAGUUCAUUCAAAGGUGCUUUGUGGGCAUAAAUCCGGAGAGAGGAUCCAAAGCCAAGGGAAAAGUACCAUCGAAAUAAAAACAGGACAAGUGAUACAGAAGAAAAUGUGUGGCAGUCAACCCACAUGUUGCCACUCUUCUGUGCAAAUUCCAAUGGAAUUUCUGAAAUUCACACUUUGAAUCCUGGGAUGGAACUUCAUCUGGAGCAUAAUUGUUAUUUGGUUGAUUUUUAUCUGUUUGAUGGAAAGUUUGUAUGACUUGUUUGGCCAUAUUGGUCUAUUCUUUAAGUGAUGAAAGCUAUCUGAAAAUGUCUUUGUGGUUUUUAAAGGAUUAGUUCACCCAAAAAUGAAAAUUAAGUCAAUAAUUACUUAUGUCGUUCCACACCCGUAAGAUCUUCGUUCAUCUUCACAACACACAUUAAGAUGUGGUUCAGUGAAGCCUGCAUUUCUAGCAAGAUCAUUUCUUUUUUCAAUGCCCAGAAAGCCUCUAAAACAUUUAAAACAAUUAAUGUGACUACAGUUGUUCAAACCUAAAUAUUAUAAAGCGACGAGAAUACUUUUUCUGCCAACCCCCCAAAACAAC